CUUCUCAACAUGGAAGUGUCAACUUGCCUCCCACCCGGACAGCGACAAUGAUGGAAGUCCAAAGAACCAACUCUGUUUAUGAUCUGUGCACUGCAGAUUUUGUAUAUCCAUCGCACAUUUUUCCUUCUAGAGAGUACAUAAAUUUCAUGUGUGAAUGUGUUUUCUAUAGCCUCCAUCAAAUGUAAGGAUCCCCAGAGGAUUAAGACACACCCUUCGAACAUCGGUUGACUAUGCACGUAUGGGCUUAAUUAUUUCGCCACCGGCUGCCUGUUUUGUAGUUUUAUUCACAGAUGUAUAACGUACACUUUUUUCUUCA